rnacentral:lncRNA from 1 species
UCCUCUUCAUCUUCUUCUUCCUUUUUAGGCUCUUCUUUUUUUGUUUCCUCCUUGGGGGGUUCCUCUUUCUUCGCUUCCUCCUUAGGUGGUUCCUCUAUCUUUGCUUCUUCUUUGGGUGGCUCUUCUUUCUUUGCUUCUUCCUUAGGUGGUUCCUCUUUCUUGAUUUCUUCCUUCUUAGGUUCUGCUUUCUUCUCUUGCUCGGGAACUUUGGCUGGUCCUACUAUGAGUAUCUCUGUCCACCAAAACUUGCGUAGUCUGCUUACUACACUCACGGGAUCAACUGUCCCAAUGAU